AGUGAGUAGAACUUGUCUUGCCAUUGUCAAUUCUCUUUGUUCUUCCAGGAUUUGUCAUUUGCCUUUUUGAUGUUGGAGUUGAAUCUUCUCUCUUGUUUGGUUGUCCUUCAGCUUCCAUUAUCUUAUUGGAAGAUGUAAGUUUUUUUUGUUGAAAUGGAUCAGUGGGACAAAUUAAUCAAUCAGAUGACAUGAGUGAAAGCAAAAGCAGCUCUAAGAAGGAAACUGUUUUGGAGCUGAAAGUGUACAUGCAUUGCAAAGCCUGUGAAAGAUCAGUACACAACACUCUCAGAAAACUUGAAGGU